rnacentral:rRNA from 1 species
UGGGGAAUAUUGCACAAUGGGCGCAAGCCUGAUGCAGCCAUGCCGCGUGUAUGAAGAAGGCCUUCGGGUUGUAAAGUACUUUCAGCGAGGAGGAAGGCGUUGUGGUUAAUAACCGCAGCGAUUGACGUUACUCGCAGAAGAAGCACCGGCUAACUCCGUGCCAGCAGCCGCGGUAAUACGGAGGGUGCAAGCGUUAAUCGGAAUUACUGGGUGUAAAGCGCACGCAGGCGGUCUGUCAAGUCGGAUGUGAAAUCCCCGGGCUCAACCUGGGAACUGCAUCCGAAACUGGCUGGCUAGAGUCUUGUAGAGGGGGGUAGAAUUCCAGGUGUAGCGGUGAAAUGCGUAGAGAUCUGGAGGAAUACCGGUGGCGAAGGCGGCCCCCUGGACAAAGACUGACGCUCAGGUGCGAAAGCGUGGGGAGCAAACA